UGUCUUCAAUUAGUAAAAUAAAGAGUACAGCUGGGUUUUAUACAUGGGCAUCUCUUUUAUUUAAUUUUUUUUUGUUAAAAUCAAACGAAAGGGCAAAGUAAUUUUUUGGGGAAGUAAUGAGUAAUGAUGAUUUUGCUGGUCAGUGAGAUUGGUAUAGCAAAGAGACCAGCCCAAAACCGAUCAGUGAGAUUGGUAAAGUAAAAUUGCACUCUCCCUUCCACUAGACCAAAACCGAAGACUUAUUAUGCUCAUGAGAGGCACGAAAGGGCAAAAGCUACAGAGGGACUGAGCAUUUGAAGACCAACAAAGUGUAUGAGAAAAAAGGAUGAGUGAGGCUUGUAACUGGACUAUCUAGUGGACAAACUCUAAAAACAAAUUGUGUUUAUCACAGAUUGAAUCUUAUGAUUCUUAUCAUCUCACGAAUUGCUCCAAGAUCUAUUCAAACAUCUACAAAAUUUCACUCGGCUACUACAAUUGCAAAAGAACAAGAACCUGGACACUUUGUAUAGAGGAUUUAGUGACUGGAGAAAGAAGGGAUUUAUGGAUAAAGAAAGGUGUGAGGGGAGCCUUGGACAAUUAGGGUCAGAGAUCUUACAACCAUAAAUUUAUUGCAAUUCAGUUCAAGUUGUUCAUUGAUUGGUUUUCUACUAUGUAUAGCAUGUAUAUUGAUUGAUGUCCUUCUCUAUGUUGCUCUACUAUCCACACUCGUUCCAUUCUAUUUAUGAGUUUGGCUCAUUUUUUUAUUUACUGUUUGGAAAUGCUUAUAGCAGCCAUAAACAUUCAUAAUGUAAUAUGUGUAUAUAUAUAUCCUUGAUUUGAAUGACGUUUUUAAAA